AUCAAGUUUGGAACCAAAUAGUCUGCCAUUUUCAAAAGGAAUUUUUAGAUGCUGAAUCCGGUGACCAAUUUCUUAACCAGACUGCCCUUCUUGCCCCUGUGGCUUUAGCGUUUAAUUUCAGGCUUUCUGUAGAAGAAGCAAACAAAAAAUCCAAUGCAAUUUUAAUGUUCUGAAGUAGUUGCACUGGAUCUUCUUUGGAUUCACUCGAAUAUAUUUUUUCCUAAAG